UACGGAGGAUGCAAGCGUUAUCCGGAAUGAUUGGGCGUAAAGAGCUCGUAGGCGGUUUGUCGCGUCGGCCGUGAAAUCUCCACGCUUAACGUGGAGCGUGCGGUCGAUACGGGCAGACUUGAGUUCGGUAGGGGAGACUGGAAUUCCUGGUGUAGCGGUGAAAUGCGCAGAUAUCAGGAGGAACACCGGUGGCGAAGGCGGGUCUCUGGGCCGAUACUGACGCUGAGGAGCGAAAGCGUGGGGAGCGAACAGG
rnacentral:rRNA from 1 species